AUUAUCCUUGACAAUUUGAGAAGUUGGAUUGGACAGAAAUAAAAAAAAAAAAACAGUUGUGUUGUGGUUGGGUCGAUGGAAGCGGGAAGACUUCAGAGUCCCAUCAGCAUCAUCGUCCUCCUCCCAUUCAACACCAAACAACGCUCUCUUCCUCAUCGUCUCCCCUCUUUCGCUCGCUCCAUUAGGGCUUCUUCCAACUUACAGGGAGGUUACAGAGGACCGAAGCCGAGAAGGGAAUGGGUGGCCGAUUGGGUAUCCAGAAACGACGAUGUUGUCCGGACUUUCCCAAUCUAUGUCGGCGGCAUCUCUCUUUUGGCUGUUCUCUUCAAUCGCGCCCUUUCCGGCAUAGCUCUUGUUUCCGAUGCCGGCAGUUCCCAGUCUAGAGCGGAUCUAUUGACACUUGGUUUGGCAGUAACGAAUAUUCUAACUGGUUUGGUGUGGCUGUCAAUCCGACCAAAAACUAUAUUAGUGGUAAAUCCUGAAGGCGUGGAGUGUCAAAGGAUAAAUUCUCAUCUUCCUGAUUUUGUAGUUUCUGAGUUACUAUGGGCAUGGGAAUCUCUUUCAGUCGCGACUAUAUGCAGGUCUUUAGUUAUUGUUUAUGAUGGCGAAUUUAUCUUUCAAAUUGGAUUUGCUGCUGCAUCUCCUGCUAGUGACAAGGAAGCAGUGCCUGUGGAUGCCAAUAACUUGAUGCAAGGUUCACUCUACCAAAGUGUGUUAAAAUCUGGGUCACAGAGUUACUUGGCCAACCUAUCUCUGUAUCCUGGGAAGUCACAGCUGCCAUUUCUGCCUUCAAACACACAGGCAGUCAUUUUGCAACCACUUGGAGACGAAGGAAUUGCAAUAAUUGGUGGUGACACAAUUAGGGGCUUCACAACUUCCGACCAGGCAUGGAUUUCGUUAAUUGGGGAGAAGCUGGAUGCUACACUUACAAAAUUUGUGAACAACAAACCACCUGUGGCUGUGCAUGAUAGAGUUUGAAACCAAUCAACUUCUCAAAGGUCUUCACUUUAUUUCAGCCUAGCAUUCCAUGAAGGUUUUUAUUAAGGUUUUCCAGGAGGAUAUUUGAUCUGCAUGAGUGAGAUGUUCCUUGAUGUUUGUGGUUUUUGGAAAGCACUUUCAAUGCCAACAAGACUUAUAAGUUAGAAGAAAGAUUCUGAUCCUGUAUGCAGCCUGCCAAUGUGAAUAUGAGAAAUGCAUAUAUGAUACCCACCUCCACCCGCCUCGCUCUUUCGAUCCGUUUUG